rnacentral:lncRNA from 15 species
GUUAAAGUCCUGUUUUUUCCAAGUUGUGUUUAACACUAUGAUGUAAAUUUGUUUUAAAUUAGCUAUAUAGUUAUAUGAAUGCUUUGCCAGGAGCAGCUAUCACUUUCAGGUUUCACCUUGAGGUUAUGGAGAUACAGAGAUUUUUAUUUAUUUAUUGAGAUCUCAGUUUGUUUCUUUUCUGGAGGGAAGCAGCGUGCAAAGGCUGCGGUGCCUCAUGCUGAGAUGCUUCAUAAUACCCGAGGGCUCAUUGUGGAGACAGUAACUCAUCAAGUGCUGCAGAGGGAAUUGGAACCAUAA